GCGGGAGUAGCUCAGUUGGUAGAGCGCAACCUUGCCAAGGUUGAAGUCGCGAGUUCGAGACUCGUCUCCCGCUCCA
rnacentral:tRNA from 1 species